UACAUGCUACUUCAUUCUUUUAUUUUCUUCUUUUCCUUUCUUUUUGUUUUAAUGCAGUCAAGUUUCCUGCAUUUGGAGAAAUUGCAAGGGUCAGCUCAGCAUGUCUGGAGUGCAAUGGAUAAGACUCACCCUAGGAGGGCCACCUUGUGAUCAUGGUAUCUCCCCCUUCUAAGCCCUGGAAACCUGCACCAGUCAGACCCACAGAACACACCAUAGUGAAAGAUAAAACCGGAGCUUUGUAACUGGAGACGAGUUUCACUGAGCUUCCCCACCGAGCUGGGUCAAGUGUGCCAGCCACCUCACUUGGCUAAGCUUCAGGGCUCUCAUGAGCAAAUGAAAGAAUAUGUUGUACUAGGAAAAAGCACAGUGUUUGAGAUUCCGAACAUCUGGGGCCACCAGCAAUCAAGUGUGUAGCUUACCAGCUGAUAACAUAUCAUUUAACAGCUUCUCCAAGAUGAAGAUCAGCUUACAUAGUGUAACACUACCUUUAUUUUAUCUACUGUUAAACUUAAUUCACCCAGCAGCGAAGGAUCUGAACUGGUAACAUCGUCUCGAUAACAGAUAAGAGAGGGGUCACCUGAUAGGAAUGGAGGCUUCCUUCGCUUUUUAAAAAGAAACAUUUUAAGCCAGAUGCCGAUUCAAAGUCAUUUUUGGGCAUUGCCAGCCUAAGGAACAGUUUAAAGCUCAUUGAUGACAAAAAGAAAUUAUUUCAAGCUGUGAAAUAUUUUCUCCCGUAAGAUAAGACAACUUCAUUUGUGGACAAAUUGCCCUGUGGAGGGGGACUUUUUAAUCAUGUCAAUUAUUUUCUUAGUCAUCAAAUGUGUGCAACAUCUACAUCCAGCUAAUAGAAGACGGGACCAUACGGGCAUCGCUGAUAGUGAUGUGGAGAGAUGUGCUGCCCACCUUCAAAGCAAGAGCUUUGCAAGCUUUAGAAUUCUCAGUACCUUGUGAACAAGAAUCAUGGCAAUGACCAUGACGCACCGACGCACCGGAAGCUGAGAUAGAGCAAAUAUGCCCACAGAAGCCAUGUGAGUGCUGGCUGGGCUUCCCAAGUUCUGCUUGUGAUCACAUCAUGGCUGCUAGUUAAGACAAUUUCCAUUCAAGAAGUGAUGUCACCUAACUUCGUAGGUUAAGCAGAAGAAAGCUUCAUAUGUUGUCUGGGAAAUGGCUCGGUUGGGAAAAUGCUUGCCUGAUAAAUUGGAUGACCUGAGUUUGGCGCCCAGAAGCGAUGUAAAGAAACAAGAAAUCGCGUGACCUGGACAUGUCAUUCCCAGUGCAGUGGUUGGGAAGGAAGACAAUGGGUGGAUCCCUAGGACUUACUGAGAAACCUUGCCUCAAAAAAUAAAAGUCUGAACCACCACAAAAAACCCAAGGUGUACAGCCAGCCCCGGAGGAACUACACCCUAGGUUGACCUGUAAUGUGUACGUACCCUGCCCCGCCCCCCCCACCCCAGUUUGCCUUUUAAACGCUAAUCCCAUUAAGAAGAUGCAGAUCACUUUCUGUGGUUACCCACCCCCUUCACGCUCCACGCCCAAAUGGUUCCUGUUUCUGUUGAGCCCGAAGCAGGAAGAGAAAGUGACGCAGCAGCGAUGCUGAGCAAGUGGAGUUCAGUCCGAUGAUGCCUUCUUUCUCCCCCAGGAGAGGGGUGCGUGGGCAGAGCCCGGGUUAUGCUUCUCAUUUGCUUCAUCCUUACGGCUUUUCCCAAAUGGCCUUGCGCUCUCUCCUGACUCUUGCCUUAUCAGUGCAUGGCCGUGAGCUGGGAGAUUCCUAAAGUUCUGUUGUCUCUCAAAACAAAACAGAACAUUCCAUCCAAAUUUAAACAGAACCAUUUACAACAUUUACAAUUCUAUUACAUAUCGGUUUUCCUGCCUGGCAUUUAUUUGAGGAAAGGCUCUCUCGGAUAUGAGGGAGUUGGUUUUGGAAAAUUAAAUCAGACUGACUAAAAUGAUGGUAUGAUUCACAAGAAAAGAGAAGAUCAUUGUGUGAUAGGAUAAUUAUUUUUGGAGCACUUUAUUUUCAUGACUUCCAGCGCACAGAGGAGAAACAUAUGGACGGUGUUGCUAAUUUAGGCCUGUGCUGCUUCAGGCUCUGCAUGGAGGUUCUACACCAGAGCUCUUGGGUCUCCAUUUUUGAAUGGAGUGCUGCAAGAGAUGCCAUCAGGCAACAGAGUUAACACAGCGUGCCUCCGGAGUUAAUAGCUGGCUUUUGACUUGUCACUUGUGAAAAAGGAGAAAAAGAGCUAGUUCUCCGCUGAGGUGAAACAUUACCUGCCAUCCGCAAAUGCUGGCUCUGCCAGCACCUCGUGAUCCUUCAACUGGCAGGAGAUCCUGAGAGAAAUGCAAAAGGACAAGCCCACCUCCACAGCCUAGCAAGCUCCUGGCUUAGUCACCUCCGUGGGCCGAAGGCUGACACCGUACUGACGGGCCUGUGUACACUCAAGAGUUCCUGCAAGGCAGCUGGGAAGGCUGGCCUCAUACCACAGGAGGUGUGGAGUUUUGACUUCUCAGUUUGCUCUUCCAUUUGGCCAAAACUGGCCUUUCUCCAGCCUACCUUUUCUGGAUUGAGUUGAGGUGAGGGAUCCUGGGAGAGAACAUGGAGACUCUCGGGGACACAGGGCUGCUGAAAAGGGCCACGUGGUUCAGUGACCUCUGCUCGUCUAAAUGGCCACAGCGUGAAUGACCUGAUAGGUAUAUGGACAUGCUCACUCUCCCUAAGACACAGGUUGUAAACCCCAGAAGGCUGGGACAUGAAAGGCAACAUCACGCCUUCUCAUUAGGCCCUGGAAGGAGAUGCCAACAGAUAACUUUCAUCCCAUCCAACAUACCUCUGGGAUAAAUUGGUUUCCCCUUAGAUUAGUGUUCUGAGUACCUGUUUCUUGGUUUGUUUGUUUGUU